rnacentral:rRNA from 1 species
CAUGUUCUCGAUCGCCGUAGAGAUACGGUUUCCCUUUGGGGAGGGUUCACAGGUGGUGCAUGGUUGUCGUCAGCUCGUGUCUUGAGAUGUUGGGUUAAGUCCCGCACCGAGCGCGUCCCUCGUCCCUUGUUGCCAGCGCGUCGUGGUGGGGCCUCAUGGGAGUCUGCCGGGGUCAGCUCGGAGGAAGGUGAGGAGGUCGUCAAUUCUUCAUGUCCCCUAUGUGUGGGGCAAAACGCUUGCUGAAUUGGCGGUAGAUUGGGGUGCGAUUCUCUGUGGUGGAGGUAAGUUCAAAAAGUCGGUCUCAGUUCGGAUUGGGGUAUGUAACUCGAGGCCAGGAAGUCGGAGUCGCUGCUAAUCUCAGAUGUACAAGGCUGCGGUGAAGACUUCGUCGGG